rnacentral:rRNA from 1 species
UACGUAGGGUGCAAGCGUUGUCCGGAAUUAUUGGGCGUAAAGAGCGUGUAGGCGGCUCGAUUAGUCCGCUGUGAAAGUCCAGGGCUCAACCCUGGGAUGCCGGUGGAUACUGUCGGGCUCGAGUCCGGAAGAGGCGAGUGGAAUUCCUGGUGUAGCGGUGAAAUGCGCAGAUAUCAGGAGGAACACCAAUGGCGAAGGCAGCUCGCUGGGACGUGACUGACGCUGAGACGCGAAAGCGUGGGGAGCAAACAGG